rnacentral:rRNA from 1 species
UACGUAGGCAGCAAGCGUUGUUCGGAAUUACUGGGCGUAAAGAGUGUGUAGGCGGUGCUCUAAGUUUGUCGUGAAAUCCCUCGGCUUAACCGGGGGAACUGCGUCUGAUACUGGAUGGCUUGAAUCCGGGAGAGGGAUGCGGAAUUCCAGGUGUAGCGGUGAAAUGCGUAGAUAUCUGGAGGAACACCGGUGGCGAAGGCGGCAUCCUGGACCGGCAUUGACGCUGAGGAGCGAAAAGCCAGGGGGAGCAAAACGGG